rnacentral:rRNA from 1 species
AAGUCGAACGCGAAAGUUCCCUUCGGGGGACAAGUAGAGUGGCGCACGGGUGAGUAACACGUAGGUAAUCUACCUUUGGAUGGGGAAUAACAACCGGAAACGGUUGCUAAUACCGCAUAAUGCAGCGGCACCUAAUGGUGACAGUUGUUAAAGCGGGGGAUCGCAAGACCUCGCGUCUAAAGAGGAGCCUGCGGCGGAUUAGCUAGUUGGUAGGGUAACGGCUUACCAAGGCGACGAUCCGUAGCCGGCCUGAGAGGGCGGUCGGCCACACUGACACUGACAUACGGGUCAGACUCCUACGGGAGGCAGCAGUCGGGAAUUUUGGGCAAUGGGCGAAAGCCUGACCCAGCAACGCCGCGUGAAGGAUGAAAUCCCUCGGGAUGUAAACUUCGCAAGAACAGGAAGAAUAAGUAGGGGACAAUACCCCCUAUGAUGACGGUACUGUUUGUAAGCUCCGGCUAACUCCGUGCCAGCAGCCGCGGUAAUACGGGGGGAGCAAGCGUUGUUCGGAUUUACUGGGCGUAAAGGGCGCGUAGGCGGCCACCGCAAGUCAAUUGUGAAAUCUCCGGGCUUAACUCGGAACGGUCAACUGAUACUGCGGGGCUAGAGUGCGGAAGGGGCAACUGGAAUUCUCGGUGUAGCGGUGAAAUGCGUAGAUAUCGAGAGGAACACCUGCGGCGAAGGCGGGUUGCUGGGCCGACACUGACGCUGAUGCGCGAAAGCCAGGGGAGCGAACGGGAUUAGAUACCCCGGUAGUCCUGGCCUUAAACGAUGAAUGCUUGGUGUCU